GGAGUUGGAGGGUGUUUCCCAUCUGAGCAAUCCCCACUUGUCGAGAGGAUAGUUGGAUCUUUGAAAUGUGUUAUGGAUGUGAAUGUUAAAGCUUGGAGCUGGUGAACUUUUUGUAACGAGGCGGGGUGUAUGCUGGAAAUGUUUCUGUUGUCUUCUGGAUAUCUAUGAUGUGCUAAACGGUUAGAUAAUAUUUCACGAUGAGGCCUUCUCAGAACCCUGAG
rnacentral:misc_RNA from 1 species